AGGGGAGGUGCUGGGAAUGGCUCAGAUCCCGGCCUAUCCUGAAAAGCCAGCUGGAUGAGACGCGCAGGUGGCCUAGGUGCGCAAGACGGAACAAAAGGCAGGCCUGAGUUUUGGCCUCAGCAAGGAGGAGGGUGGGGCUCGAUGUCCCUGGCGAUGCGGCAAAGCAGGAGCCAUUGGUUCGGGGGGCAAAACCAAAACUUGGGAUGAAUUCAGUUUGAAGAUGCAGACGAGUCCUUCCUGUGGAACAUCUGGAUUGAGCGCUGGACGCGUGAGAGGUCUCAGCUGUCGGGGGUGUGGGAGUCGUGGGUAAAUAGAAGUCCGAGGUGCAUUUAAAGUCACGAGACAGGGUGGGGGGCGCCUGGGUGGCUCAGUCGGUUGAGCAUCUGACUUCGGCUCAGGUCAUGAUCUCACGGUCUGUGGGUUCGAGCCCCGCGUCGGGCUCUGUGCUGACGGCUCGGAGCCUGGAGCCUGCUUCCGAUUCUGUGUCUCCCUCUCUCCCUGCCCCUCCCCCGCUCACGCUUCAUCGCACUCUGCUUCUCAAAAAUAAAUAAAUGUAAAAAAAAAAAAUUUAAAGUCGUGAGACAGGGUGAGACAGUGCAGACAGUGGGCACGGAGGGAGGACGGAGGACAGAGGCCCAGAGAGAUGGGAGGACCCGGUGAGGGAAGCCUAGACCCCGUGUCUGGCCGCGGGCAGGGGACAGAGCGCGUCUGGUGAGUCAAGGAGGAACGUGGUCCCGGAAGGAAGGCGGGGCCAGCUGUGUCGAGAGCUGGUGACGGGCCGAGUGACACGGAGACAGAAUUGCCGUUGACCCCAGCGACGUGGAGGCCCGUCCACCCUCAUCAGCGCGAGUCGGGUGCCCGAGAAAGCCCAGUGCCGACGGGGUUGGGAACUCUGGGCGGGAGCCUGGCCGCUGUGGCUUCUUGGGGACAGAGGGAGAGAGACAGGGGCCCAAUGGUGGGGCCCAAGGGAAGGCCCGUCCCCUGAGCGCACGUGACCGGGCCUGCGUCCCCUCCCCUGCCCUGCAGUCUGGGCCCUGAGACCGUCAGGCCUGCAGGAUGGCUGGUCCUGUGGGGCCGCAGGAGGCCGCGAUGGGCCCCGAUGCCUCCCUGAGAGACGCGUGCCCUUGACACGGACGACCCUGCGAUGCCGUUAACGAGCCUCUUUGACAUCAGCACGCGACGGGUCAGAGGGCGGGCACGUGCGGUCGUCUCGCGAGAAACGGCUCCUGCCGGCCAUGCCCCACGUGCCCUAUCAACGUUCCCACGAAGAAACUGUAUCUCGGUGGAAGAUGGCAAAGUGGAACCGGAGGAGGCAGAAUCACCAGCGGCGUUGGCCACGCCCACCCCCAACCUGAGGAAGCCAUGCUAAGUAAGGCCGCUGGAGAGGACGGCUCACCUGUGACAGUGACGUUCAGGACCGCGCUGCAGGCAAGGCCGUGGCCGUUGUCGGCCGUGCAGAAGUAGCCCCCCGCGUGGCUCCCGCCGACCGCAGGGAUCUCCAGCUGCGCCCUCUGGGAACGCCGGUGUUUCCUCCCCAGACUCUCCCCCGUGUCCUCCCGGUGCCAGGAGAACGUGGUGUCCCCUGUGCCUUCGGCCGCGGAGCAGGUGAGGACCAGAGGCUCCCCCGCAAGUGCCCGGCCCUCCGGGGGCUGGGUCUCCAGGAGCACUCCGGACACCGGGACCCCUGCGUGGACACGAGACAGCGGAUGGCUGUGAUCUGCAGUUCCGGGGACCGGCUCCAGUCUGACAGCACGACCCUGCGGUCCCUGAAGAAGCUGAAAUGAAGCACAGUGUCCGGCCGCUCUGGAGGCAGCUGAGUUUCGCAGCUCAGGUUCACAGAACUGCCCUCUGUGGGCUGGGAGGGGGUGACUUUCAGCUUCGGGUGUGGAAACAGUUCUAGAGAGAAGAGGGAAACCGAGGUCUCAGAGGGCGGCCCUGGGGGCCCUGGGGCAGGCGGGCUCGGCUGCUGGGUCCUGGGGAACUUCAGACACAAGGCACGACCCGGGCGGACCCCGCCUUCCCCUCUUUCCGCCCCAGCUCGAGUGCAGGGGCCCCGCGGCUCUGCCUGCCAGGGGACACGCGUCCCUCGUUACCCAGCGUUGGGACGGCAAUGUGUGGGUGCCCCGUCACACACUGAGCAAGUCGAUAAUCUGCAUGAAAUGAAAGGUUUACCUUGAAUUCGAACAGACUUGGUGUUUGACCUCCAUGCGUGCAUUUUGUCCACACGCCCAGUGCAGUGGUAGAAGCCACUGUUGUUUGAACUGGCUCGUGGUAUCGAAAGGUCCUGGCUCUGAUUGGAGGCGGAGAUGACUUUUCCGUUCCAAAUGUACUUCACAGAGGUCAGUGUCUCUCGACUCCUCGUCUGGCACCUCAGGACCAGUGUGUCACCUUCAAACACGCCAUGUGGAGCCUGGAGCACAAGCCAGCCUG